rnacentral:rRNA from 1 species
UACGAGUGCCUCGAGCGUUAUCCGGAAUUAUUGGGCGUAAAGGGUGUGUAGGCGGUUCUGGUAGUCUCCUGUAAAAUUCCCCGGCUCAACCGGGGGCGCGCGGGAGAAACGGCAGAACUCAGAGGAUGGAAGGGGUCUGCGGAACUCAUGGUGUAGCGGUGAAAUGCGUUGAUAUCAUGGGGAACACCAAAAGCGAAGGCAGCAGACUGGUCCACUCCUGACGCUGAAACACGAAAGCGUGGGUCGCGAAUGGG